rnacentral:rRNA from 1 species
AUUGAACGCUGGCGGCAGGCCUAACACAUGCAAGUCGAGCGGAGCGGCGGACGGGUGAGUAAUGCCUAGGAAUCUGCCUGGUAGGGGGGGAUAACGUCCGGAAACGGGCGCUAAUACCGCAUACUAUCAGAUGAGCCUAGGUCGGAUUAGCUAGUUGGUGGGGUAAAGGCCUACCAAGGCGAUGAUCCGUAACUGGUCUGAGAGGAUGAUCAGUCACACUGGAACUGAGACACGGUCCAGACUCCUACGGUAGGCAGCAGUGGGGAAUAUUGGACAAUGGGCGAAAGCCGGAUGCAGCCAUGCCGCGUGGGGGAAGAAGGUCGUCGGAUUGUAAAGCACUUAAAGUUGGGAGGCGUUACCUACAGGCUGAGCACCGGCUGACUACGUGCCAGCAGCCGCGGUAAUAC